rnacentral:rRNA from 1 species
UUCCGGUUGAUCCUGCCGGACCUGACUGCUAUCGGAUUGAUACUAAGCCGUGUGAGUCAUUGUAGCAAUACAAGGCAGACGGCUCAGUAACACGUAGUCAAUCUACCCUAUGGACGGGGAUAACCUCGGGAAACUGAGGAUAACACCCGAUAGAUCAUAAUUCCUGGAACGGUUUAUGGUUCAAACGAUUCGUCGCCGUAGGAUGGGACUGCGGCCUAUCAGCUUGUUGGUGAGGUAAUGGCCCACCAAGGCUAUUACAGGUACGGGCUCUGAGAGGAGAAGCCCGGAGAUGGGUACUGAGACACGGACCCAGGCCCUAUGGGGCGCAGCAGGCGAGAAACCUUUGCAAUGUGCGCAAGCACGACAAGGUUAAUCCGAGUGUUUCCUGCUAAAGGAAUCUUUUGUUAGUUGUAAAACCACUAUCGAAUAAGGGGUGGGCAAGUUCUGGUGUCAGCCGCCGCGGUAAAACCAGCACCUCAAGUGGUCAGGAGGAUUAUUGGGCCUAAAGCAUCCGUAGCCUGUUCUAUAAGUUUCCGGUUAAAUCCAUUAGCUCAACUAAUGGGCUGCCGAAAAUACUGUAGAACUAGGGAGUGGGAGAGGUAGACGGUAUUCGGUAGGAAGGGGUAAAAUCCUUUGAUCUAUUGAGGACCACCUGUGGCGAAGGCGGUCUACCAGAACACGUUCGACGGUGAGGGAUGAAAGCUGGGGGAGCAAACCGGAUUAGAUACCCGGGUAGUCCCAGCCGUAAACGAUGCAGACUCGGUGAUGCGCUGGCUUGUGGCCAGUGCAGUGCCGCAGGGAAGCCGUUAAGUUUGCCGCCUGGGAAGUACGUACGCAAGUAUGAAACUUAAAGGAAUUGGCGGGGGAGCACCACAAGGGGUGAAGCCUGCGGUUCAAUUGGAGUCAACGCCGGA